rnacentral:rRNA from 1 species
GGACGAACGCUGGCGGCGUGCCUAAUACAUGCAAGUCGUGCGGACCUUGUUGAAAGCUUGCUUUUAAAAGGUUAGCGGCGGACGGGUGAGUAACACGUGGGCAACCUGCCUGUAAGACUGGGAUAACGCCGGGAAACCGGGGCUAAUACCAGAUCGUUUUUUCCUCCGCAUGGAGGAAAAAGGAAAGGCGGCUUCGGCUGCCACUUACAGAUGGGCCCGCGGCGCAUUAGCUAGUUGGCGGGGUAAUGGCCCACCAAGGCAACGAUGCGUAGCCGACCUGAGAGGGUGAUCGGCCACAUUGGGACUGAGACACGGCCCAAACUCCUACGGGAGGCAGCAGUAGGGAAUCUUCCGCAAUGGACGAAAGUCUGACGGAGCAACGCCGCGUGAGUGAAGAAGGCCUUCGGGUCGUAAAACUCUGUUGCCGGGGAAGAACAAGUGCCGUUCGAACAGGGCGGCGCCUUGACGGUACCCGGCCAGAAAGCCACGGCUAACUACGUG